GAUGAACGCUAGCGGCAGGCCUAACACAUGCAAGUCGAGGGGUAGAACACUUCGGUGUUUGAGACCGGCGCACGGGUGCGUAACGCGUAUGCAAUCUACCUUGUACAGGGGAAUAGCCCAGAGAAAUUUGGAUUAAUGCCCCAUAGUAUAUAACCUUCGCAUGUUGGUUAUAUUAAAGUUCCAACGGUACAAGAUGAGCAUGCGUCCCAUUAGUUAGUUGGUAAGGUAACGGCUUACCAAGACGAUGAUGGGUAGGGGUCCUGAGAGGGAGAUCCCCCACACUGGUACUGAGACACGGACCAGACUCCUACGGGAGGCAGCAGUGAGGAAUAUUGGUCAAUGGUCGCAAGACUGAACCAGCCAUGCCGCGUGCAGGAAGACGGUCCUAUGGAUUGUAAACUGCUUUUAUACAGGAAGAAACCCUCCCACGUGUGGGAGCUUGACGGUACUGUAGGAAUAAGGAUCGGCUAACUCCGUGCCAGCAGCCGCGUAAACUACUCGUA
rnacentral:rRNA from 1 species